rnacentral:rRNA from 1 species
GUGCACGCUGGCGGUAGGCCUAACCCCUGCAAGUCGCACGGCAGCACAGUAAGAGCUUGCUCUUACGGGUGGCGAGUGGCGGACGGGUGAGGAAUACAUCGGAAUCUACUUUUUCGUGGGGGAUAACGUAGGGAAACUUACGCUAAUACCGCAUACGACCUACGGGUGAAAGCAGGGGAUCUUCGGACCUUGCGCGAUUGAAUGAGCCGAUGUCGGAUUAGCUAGUUGGCGGGGUAAAGGCCCACCAAGGCGACGAUCCGUAGCUGGUCUGAGAGGAUGAUCAGCCACACUGGAACUGAGACACGGUCCAGACUCCUACGGGAGGCAGCAGUGGGGAAUAUUGGACAAAGGGCGCAAGCCUGAUCCAGCCAUACCGCGUGGGUGAAGAAGGCCUUCGGGUUGUAAAGCCCUUUUGUUGGGAAAGAAAAGCAGCAGGUUAAUACCCCGCUGUUCUGACGGUACCCAAAGAAUAAGCACCGGCUAACUUCGUG